CCUACGGGCGGCAGCAGUGGGGAAUAUUGCACAAUGGGGGAAACCCUGAUGCAGCGACGCCGCGUGGGUGAAGAAGCGCCUCGGCGCGUAAAGCCCUGUCAGCAGGGAAGAAAAUGACGGUACCUGACGAAGAAGCCCCGGCUAACUACGUGCCAGCAGCCGCGGUAAUACGUAGGGGGCAAGCGUUAUCCGGAUUUACUGGGUGUAAAGGGGGCGCAGACGGCGAUGCAAGCCAGGAGUGAAAGCCCGGGGCCCAACCCCGGGACUGCUCUUGGAACUGCGUGGCUGGAGUGCAGGAGGGGCAGGCGGAAUUCCUGGUGUAGCGGUGAAAUGCGUAGAUAUCAGGAGGAACACCGGUGGCGAAGGCGGCCUGCUGGACUGCAACUGACGUUGAGGCCCGAAAGCGUGGGGAGCAAACAGGAUUAGAUACCCGGGUAGUC
rnacentral:rRNA from 1 species